UACGUAGGGACCGAGCGUUGUCCGGAAUCAUUGGGCGUAAAGAGCGUGUAGGCGGCUGACCAAGUCCUGCGUGAAAUCUUGCGGCUCAACCGCAAGCGGUCGUGGGAAACUGGUCGGCUAGAGUGCGGGAGAGGAGAGUGGAAUUCCUGGUGUAGCGGUGAAAUGCGCAGAUAUCAGGAAGAACACCCGUGGCGAAGGCGGCCAUCUGGACCAGCACUGACACUGAGGCACGAAAGCGUGGGGAGCAAACAGG
rnacentral:rRNA from 1 species